rnacentral:rRNA from 1 species
CCUACGGGAGGCAGCAGUGGGGAAUAUUGGACAAUGGGGGGAACCCUGAUCCAGCCAUGCCGCGUGUGUGAAGAAGGCCCUCGGGUUGUAAAGCACUUUCAGUGAGGAAGAACGCCUGGUGGUUAAUACCCAUCAGGAAAGACAUCACUCACAGAAGAAGCACCGGCUAACUCCGUGCCAGCAGCCGCGGUAAUACGGAGGGUGCGAGCGUUAAUCGGAAUUACUGGGCGUAAAGCGCGCGUAGGUGGCUUGAUAAGCCGGUUGUGAAAGCCCCGGGCUCAACCUGGGAACGGCAUCCGGAACUGUCAAGCUAGAGUGCAGGAGAGGAAGGUAGAAUUCCCGGUGUAGCGGUGAAAUGCGUAGAGAUCGGGCGGAAUACCAGUGGCGAAGGCGGCCUUCUGGACUGACACUGACACUGAGGUGCGAAAGCGUGGGUAGCAAACAGGAUUAGAUACCCCUGUAGUC